ACGCUCGACACCUACGGGAGACAGCAGUAGGGAAUCUUCCACAAUGGGCGCAAGCCUGAUGGAGCAACACCGCGUGAGUGAAGAAGGGUUUCGGCUCGUAAAGCUCUGUUGUUGGAGAAGAACGUGCGUGAGAGUAACUGUUCACGCAGUGACGGUAUCCAACCAGAAAGUCACGGCUAACUACGUGCUAGCAGCCGCGGUAAUCUGAGCGGGCUGGCAAGGC
rnacentral:rRNA from 1 species